rnacentral:rRNA from 1 species
GACGAACGCUGGCGGCGUGCUUAACACAUGCAAGUCGAACGGAAAGGCCCUGCUUUUGUGGGGUGCUCGAGUGGCGAACGGGUGAGUAACACGUGAGUAACCUGCCCUUGACUUUGGGAUAACUUCAGGAAACUGGGGCUAAUACCAGAUAGGAGCUCCUGCCGCAUGGUGGGGGGUGGAAAUUUUCGGCGGUUGGGGAUGGACUCGCGGCUUAUCAGCUUGUUGGUGGGGUAGUGGCUUACCAAGGCUUUGACGGGUAGCCGGCCUGAGAGGGUGACCGGCCACAUUGGGACUGAGAUACGGCCCAGACUCCUACGGGAGGCAGCAGUGGGGAAUAUUGCACAAUGGGCGGAAGCCUGAUGCAGCAACGCCGCGUGCGGGAUGACGGCCUUCGGGUUGUAAACCGCUUUCGCCUGUGACGAAGCGUGAGUGACGGUAAUGGGUAAAGAAGCACCGGCUAACUACGUG